rnacentral:rRNA from 1 species
UACGUAGGGGGCAAGCGUUGUCCGGAAUCAUUGGGCGUAAAGAGCGUGUAGGCGGCUUGGUAAGUCCGCUGUGAAAGUCCAGGGCUCAACCCUGGAAUGCCGGUGGAAACUGUCAGGCUCGAGUCCGGAAGAGGCGAGUGGAAUUCCUGGUGUAGCGGUGAAAUGCGCAGAUAUCAGGAGGAACACCAAUGGCGAAGGCAGCUCGCUGGGACGGUACCGACGCUGAGACGCGAAAGCGUGGGGAGCAAACAGG